rnacentral:rRNA from 1 species
AUUGAACGCUGGCGGCAUGCCUUACACAUGCAAGUCGAACGGCAGCACGGGUGCUUGCACCUGGUGGCGAGUGGCGAACGGGUGAGUAAUACAUCGGAACGUACCUUAUCGUGGGGAUAACGCAGCGAAAGCUGUGCUAAUACCGCAUACGCCCUGAGGGGGAAAGCGGGGGAUCGAAAGACCUCGCGCGAUUAGAGCGGCCGAUGCCUGAUUAGCUUGUUGGUGGGGUAAAAGCACACCAAGGCGACGAUCAGUAGCUGGUCUGAGAGGACGAUCAGCCACACUGGGACUGAGACACGGCACAGCCUCCUACGGGAGGCAGCAGUGGAGAAUUUUGGACAAUGGUGGCAACCCUGACCCAGCAAUGCCGCGUGAGUGAAGAAGGCCUUCGGGUUGUAAAGCUCUUUUGUCAGGAAAGAAACACCGGCUCUAACACAGUCCGGGAAUGACGGUACCUGAAGAAUAAGCACCGGCUAACUACGUGCCAGCCGCCGCAGUAA